rnacentral:lncRNA from 1 species
UGGCAGCCUUCUCGGGCCGUCGAGGCCCUAACGGCUCUCCGUGGCGUUCAAGUGGCUGCCAUUCUUCUCGCCCUGCCACGCUGGACUCGCAAAGGCGAUGUGGCAGAGGCUUCGCCUAAGCCCUGCAGCGCUGGGCCGAGAGACCCGGCCAUCGGCUGGGCCCGGGCUUGUGGGGUCCGCCGCCGUUUGGUCGCGGAGGUGGGGGCGGCGGAGAGGUUCGCUGCUACUCCAAGGCCUGGGCCAUGGACGGCCGUGAGGACUCUGGGGCUCUGCAGGGCACAGGUCAGGCCUGUCCCAGAGCCCCCCUAGUUCACCGCCUCCCGAGGCCAGAGGGCCCCGAGGGCCCCGGGACAGAGGGCCGCGAUCCACUUCUCACCGCGCUCUCCGCCGGAACUCACCGUAAGUGUGUUUUCUAUGUCUGGGAGUCUUUCUCUUUUAUAAAUAAGUUCAUUUGAAUCAUUUUUUUAGAUUCCACAUGUAAGCAAUAUCAUAUUAUAUUUGGCUUCAUUAAAUAUAAUCUCUAGGUCCACCAACGUUGCUGCAAAUGGCAUAAUUUCAUUAUUUUUAUGGCUGAGUAAUAUUCCAUAUAUCUUGUUUCAUCCAUCCAUCUGUUGUUGGACAUUUAGAUUGCUUCCUUGUCUUGGCUAUUGCAAAUAGUACUGCAAUGAACAUUAGGACGCAUGUAUAUUUUCAAAUUAGAGUUUUCUCUGGAUGUAGGCCCAGGAGUGGGUAACUGGAUCAUAUGGUAGUUCUAUAUUUAGUUUUUUAAGGAACUUCGAUAAAGUUCUCCAUAGUGGAUGCACCAAUUUACAUUCCCACCAAGAGUAUGGGAGGGUCCCCUUUCCUCUCAAACAUUUAUUGUUUGUAGACUUUUAUUUUCAAUGUAUGGUUGUAUAGCCAUCAUCACAACUUAAUUUUAUUUUAUUUAUUUUCAUUAAGACUUCUUUAAUUUUUUAAUAUUUCCUUUGUGAUUUUUGAUUAUUAAAUCUUUUAUUAUACUUGAUUUACAAUGUUCUGUCAAUUUCUGCUGUAUGGCAAAGUGACCCAGUUAUACAUAUAUACACUUUUUCUCCAUUAUCCUCCAUAAUGGUCCAUCACAAAUAAUUAGAUAUAGUUCACUGUGCUAUACAGCAGGAUCUCAUUGCUAAUCCACUCCGAAUGCAGUAGUUUGCAUCUACUAAACCCUAACCCCAGUCUGUCCCACUCCCUCCCCAUUGACAACCACAAGUCUGGUCUCCAUGUCCAUGAGUUUGUUUCUUUACUGUGGAUAGGUUCGUUUCCGCCAUAUAUUAGAUUCCAUAUAUAAGUGAUAUCAUAUGGUGUUUGUCUUUAUCUUUCUGAAUUACUUCUCUUAGUAAGAGAGUCUCUAGUCCCAUCCAUGUUUCUGCAAAUGGUAUUAUUUUGAUCUUUUUUUUAUGGCUGAGUGGUAUUCCAUUGUGUAUAUACACCACAUUUUCUUAAUCCAUUCAUCUGUUGAUGGAUGUUUUGAUGGCUAAAUAAUAUUCCACUAUGCAUGCAUACAUACACACACAUGUAUGUGUGUGUAUAAUCAUAUAUUUACUUUAUCUACUCAUCUGUCAGUGAACACAUAGGUGAUUUUCAUGUCUUGGCUUGUGCUAAUAAUGCUGCAUUUAAAAUGGGGGUGUAAAUAUAUAUCUUUGAAAUAAUGAUAAAUUUCCUUUGGACAUGAAUAUAUACCCAGAGGGGAACUGCUGAAUCAUAUCAUGGUUCUAUUUUUAGCUUUUUGAGGAAUGGCCAUCCUGUUUUCCAUGUGGCUGUACCAAUUUCUGGUCUAACCAACUGUGCAUGAAUGUUCUCCUUUUGUUCCAAAUCUUCACCAACAGUAGUUAUCUAUCUCCUUUUUACUUUUAUAACAGCCACUCUAACAGAUGUGAGGUGAUAUCUCAUUGUGGUUUCUGUUUUCACAUUUUUCUAAAUUUCUGAAGUGUAGCAUCCUAUGGAAAGUAUGCACAUUAGAGUAUGAUUCCAUGAAUUUUCACAUGUGGAACACAGCUGUAUAACCACCACCUACAUGAAGAACUAGAACCUUACCAGCCCCCAGAGACAUCCGCUGCCCAGUGGGCCCCUUUGUAGUUAUCACUCUCUCUAAAAGUAACCUUAUUCUGGGGGAGUCAGCCGUCUUGUGAACAGUUAACGGCCAGCUGCUUUCUCCAGGGUCUGAAGGUGAGCCUGUGAGCUGAGUGGAUGUUGGGUAGUGGAGCCCAGUAUGGGAAGCUCAAAGAAGUUGGUGUGGAAGCUACAAGACCCCAUGAGGACUGGAUAAUCAAGCAUUGUUUUGGGGUCCCACAGGCUUCUUGGGAGUACUACACACUUUGAUGCCUGUUGGAGAUGAGAACCAAGAGGCUCCUAGAGGAACUGCAGAAACCGUGGCCGUGGAAGGAGGUAAAUGGCACUUGGAGAUGCAGAAAAACAAGGUUUAUUCGGCACCAGUGCCGGCUCAGAGGAGUCACCCCCAGAGUCUGAGCACCGGGUCUUUGUUCUCAGCACCUUUUAUACAAUAUCGGGUCUUGUUUCUCCCAUGCAAGCAAUCCUGAACCUCCUCCUUCCUGGAGCAGACUGACAAUGUUCCUGCCGAAGAAACUGAGCAAGCAAGGUUAUAGAAGCGAAACUGAGAAGCAAUGCUUGGAGCACCAUUAGCAGGGCUGCUGGCUUGAACAUAGGGCACGUAGUUGCUACAUAAUUAUGAGGAGGAUGGACUGAGGCUGAGCAGAACUGAAAAGGCAUGGAAAUGCUUUUUCAGGCAAGGCGGGGGUUAAGUCUCUUAGUUAAAUCUCCCAGUUCACUUCCUUGUGGGGUUCUCCCAUAAGCUUUCCUUACAUACUCUUUACAAUGCCUUUAGCCUGCUGUGAAGCAGCCUUGGUAUCUUUGCCACUUAGAGAUGUUUUCCACUUGUUUGUAUGUAGUUAGCUUAAAGUACGGAACGAAAUUUAUUUUUCUCUCCCUCCCCCUUCUUCCUAGCAUUUCCCCCUUUUCCUUUUUCUUUUCCUUUCUCCCAUUUUAGUGUCUUCUCCUUUCUCUUGAGUUAUACAUGAUAUUUCAAAAGCUAGCCUAUCUAGCAAGAUCCUUUUUCUCUGGUUAAAAGAGCAACAACAGUGUGCUUGUUUGUGUGUGUACAAGCACACACACUUGUGUCUUUUCCACACGUUUGUCUCAUUUACUCCCAAGGUGUAAACUUGGAGACAAGGAAAAGCCAGGAAGCCCUCUGUUAAUUAGUGUAUUGGUCUGUAUGAACAAACUCUUCACUAAAUGUCAAAAAUAAAGGUGUCAGGCUGCUCUCUAGGGAAAGGAUUUCCACGGAGUGCUAGGUCAUAACUGAGCUGAUGGCCUUUCAUCAGUAAGUUGUGCCCAAGGCUCUACUUCCUUCCAGUCCUUUACAAGCCGUUCAUGGAAACCAACUUAGGAGAGAACACGAUGAAACUAACCAGCCAACAAAAUUUGUUCUUGAACGACCUAGGGCUCAAUCAGGGGACACGUGGCCAAGCUGGCUGGGUGAGUCUCUCCAGUUUGGGGAGCCCACAGGGGGUGUGGGGUGGGGCUUCCAUGGAGCAGGCACAUGGGAGUCGUGGCUGCACCAGUGGGGCAACUAGGCAUGCUCAGAAGCCCUGCAGGUGGGGUCUCUCCAGGUAGCCAGGGUUUUAUAGCAGUGCGGAAGCCCAGAGGAGGAGUGGCCCCCGUUGGCCAUGACCACCACCUGCAGGCAGAGGAAGAGUUCUGAGGAGGGUAGCAGUCUCCAUCCUUUGGGGCAACAGCGUGUCUGCUUUGGAGAAAGGGUAUCCAAGGGGCAAGGACAGUAAUUCCGGAAAGAUGGGCCAGCAUUUGGCCAACACAAUCUGUUCUUCGGAGACCUGGGGUGCAAUCAGGGGACACGCUUGGCCAGGCUGGCCGGAAACCCAGCAGGUGGCUCUCUGGAGGCAUCGCGGGCAUUACCGCUGCCAGGGAAGAGGAGUGGCCAGUGGCAGCCAAGACCACCACCAGCAGGCAGAGGAAGAGUUCUGAGGAGGGAAGGGCUCUCCACCCCUUGGAAGGAGAAGGGAAGGAGAAGGGAAGGAGGAGGAGGAAAAGUGAAGGGGGUGGCACCAGUUCUUCUGGAGAAACUGGCGAUGAAUAGAAGUCAGAUACGCACUUCCUGAACGCCAGGGGGAGGCGACCCACGGAAAGUGGACUGGGAGACCCCCGCCCCCCACCCCACGCACUGGGGAGGCGUGGCUGUCAGGCUUGAGAGAGGACCCGGGGCAUAGUGGCCAGGGCCACAACCUUGGCCUGGGAAAGUUCUCAGAUGUGGUGUUAAAUCAGACUGUAUCCACCAGCCUGCACCGCAGACACAGCAACUUGGGAUCCCACCCAUGUCUGGGACCUAUACCCCCGCUUGUGGCAACACUGGAUCCUUCACCCACUGAGCCAGGCCUGGGAUCCAACCUGCAUCCUCUCAGACACGAUGUCAGGUUCUUACCCCACUGAGUCACCACAGGCACUUCUCACUCACCUCAUCAUGAUGGCUGCCUCUGUCAGUUGCUUGUGUGAUUCCCUCCAAUUGUAAAAGUGUUGUGCGCUGCCUCCCUUCCACUGUGAAAACAACCAGCCUGUGCUUGAUGCCUGAUGAGAGGACGCCAUCUCUAAAGAAAGGUACUGACUGUGGGGCUCAGACUUCAGUAAGGAAAGGAGACAAAGUGCAUGGAGUUUAUCAAGUUUAAUUUUUCAAAUGUAACCAUUGUCAUAUUAG